UACGUAGGGGCCUAGCGUUGUUCGGAAUUACUGGGCGUAAAGCGCGUGUAGGCGGUUCGGCAAGUCGGAUGUGAAAGCCCAGGGCUCAACCCUGGAAGUGCACUCGAAACUGCCAGACUGGAGUCCCGGAGAGGAAGGCGGAAUUCUCGGUGUAGAGGUGAAAUUCGUAGAUAUCGAGAGGAACACCUGUGGCGAAGGCGGCCUUCUGGACGGUGACUGACGCUGAGACGCGAAAGCGUGGGGAGCAAACAGG
rnacentral:rRNA from 1 species